GACGUAGGGCGCGAGCGUUGUCCGGAUUUAUUGGGCGUAAAGAGCUCGUAGGCGGCUUGUCGCGUCGACCGUGAAAACUUGGGGCUCAACCCUAAGCCUGCGGUCGAUACGGGCAGGCUAGAGUUCGGUAGGGGAGACUGGAAUUCCUGGUGUAGCGGUGAAAUGCGCAGAUAUCAGGAGGAACACCGGUGGCGAAGGCGGGUCCCUGGGCCGAUACUGACGCUGAGGAGCGAAAGCGUGGGGAGCGAACAGG
rnacentral:rRNA from 1 species